AACGACUCUCGGCAACGGAUAUCUCGGCUCUCGCAUCGAUGAAGAACGUAGCGAAAUGCGAUACUUGGUGUGAAUUGCAGAAUCCCGUGAACCAUCGAGUCUUUGAACGCAAGUUGCGCCCGAAGCCAUCCGGCCGAGGGCACGCCUGCCUGGGCGUCACGC
rnacentral:rRNA from 1 species